UACGUAGGGCGCAAGCGUUAUCCGGAAUUAUUGGGCGUAAAGAGCUCGUAGGCGGUUUGUCGCGUCUGCCGCGAAAGUCCGGGGCUCAACUCCGGAUCUGCGGUGGGUACGGGCAGACUAGAGUGAUGUAGGGGAGACUGGAAUUCCUGGUGUAGCGGUGAAAUGCGCAGAUAUCAGGAGGAACACCGAUGGCGAAGGCAGGUCUCUGUGCAUUAACUGACGCUGAGGAGCGAAAGCAUGGGGAGCGAACAGG
rnacentral:rRNA from 1 species